UACGGGGGGGGUAAGCGUUGUUCGGAAUUACUGGGCGUAAAGGGCUCGUAGGCGGCCAACUAAGUCAGACGUGAAAUCCCUCAGCUUAACUGGGGAACUGCGUCUGAUACUGGAUGGCUUGGAUUCGGGAGAGGAAUGUGGAAUUCCUGGUGUAGCGGUGAAAUGCGCAGAUAUCAGGAAGAACACCAAUGGCGAAGGCAGCUCUCUGGGACGGUACUGACGCUGAGACGCGAAAGCGUGGGGAGCGAACAGG
rnacentral:rRNA from 1 species